GACGAACCGUGCAAACGUUGUUCGGAAUUACUGGGCGUAAAGCGCACGUAGGCGGCUUUGUAAGUUAGAGGUGAAAGCCCGGGGCUCAACUCCGGAAUUGCCUUUAAGACUGCAUCGCUAGAAUUGUGGAGAGGUAAGUGGAAUUCCGAGUGUAGAGGUGAAAUUCGUAGAUAUUCGGAGGAACACCAGUGGCGAAGGCGGCUCGCUGGCUCGAUACUGACGCUGAGGUGCGAAAGCGUGGGGAGCAAACAGG
rnacentral:rRNA from 1 species